rnacentral:rRNA from 1 species
AUUGAACGCUGGCGGCAGGCCUAACACAUGCAAGUCGCACGAGUGGCGGACGGGUGAGUAAUGUCUGGGAAACUGCCUGAUGGAGGGGGAUAACUACUGGAAACGGUCGCUAAUACCGCAUACCAUCAGAUGUGCCCAGAUGGGAUUAGCUAGGUGGUGGGGUAACGGCUCACCAAGGCGACGAUCCCUAGAUGGGCUGAGAGGAUGACACGCCACACUGGAACUGAGACACGGUCCAGACUCCGACGUGAGGCAGCAGUGGGGAAUAUUGCACAAGGGGCGAAAGCCUGAUGCAGCCAUGCCGCGUGUAUGAAGAAGGCCUUCGGGUUGUAAAGUACUUACAGCGGGGAGGCGUUACCCGCAGAAGAAGCACCGGCUAACUCCGUGCCAGCAGCCGCGGUAAUAC